ACGCGGAACGAAAUUCAAUUUGUAAAAGAGCUUCGAAUAAUGAAACUUGUUGCCUCGUACGAUUCUUGUCCUCAUUGUUCAGCGUACGUUCAUUGAAUAUCAUUCGCAAAUUCAUCGAAUGAUAUAAUCGAGGAUCCUACAAGGCGAAAGAUUUUAUUAUUUGAAGCUCUUUUACAAAUAUAAUUUUAUCGCCGCGUGUCUCAGAUGUAGCGCCAGUCGAACGGAUGCGUGGAAAAAGUGACACCACGAAUACAGUAGAAUGAACCAGUUAGGUUUCUUAUUUGUAUGGGCACUCAUACAUAAAGACCGAUUAGUUCGUUCUCUUUCUUUCUUUCUCUUACGUUGGGAUUUGGGAUAUGCGCGCUGCGCAGCAGCUUGCCAUUAGGGAGGAAAACAAAUGUAAACGUUGAGUUGAGGUUGCCACUAUGUGUCACUAUAGAUUGCUGUAGAUGUAUUGCGCGAAAUGUGUACCAAAUUACAUAUAUUGAAUUAUGUACACACAGUAGGAUAUACACAUAAUAUAACCGUUUAAGAUAUGGACAAUAAUUGGUUAUCUGAUGAUAUGGAAGAGUCAUGGAAAUGGAAUUGGACAGAAUUAUGUGGUUAUAAUGGAGGCAUUAAGCCACUGAAUCCAGAAACACAUGAUAUCGAUGUAUGCUUCCAACAAUUAUUCCUUCAGAUCCCAGUUUUAGUCUGUAUUGCAAUGGUAUCUGCGUAUCAUUGUGGAAAAAGACAUUCAUAUCCUAAUGGUCAUCAUGGUACUAAUGCUAUCAUUAACUUGAGAAUUUUGAUUGUAUUGUGCCUUAUGGUUCUUCCUAUAAUUAGAGCAUACAUUAUUCUUACUAAUACAACCCUUUCUCCAUUAAACCAUGUUUCAUCUGAUAAUAAUUUAAUGCAGCAAGAAUCAGCCAUGAUAUCAAAUAAUAGUUCAGAUUCAGUUUUAAAUUCACCAAGUAUAAUAGAUCACAUAAAAGAUGAACUAAAUUACACUAUUGAUUAUACAAAAUCGAUACUUUUUCCAAAGAGUAAUAUCCAAAAGGCAACAGAACCUACUGUCACCUUUAUUACGCAAGAUUACAAUCCAGUGUUAGAUGCAGUUAAUGAUAGUGCAACAUCUGCCAAACCUAUUGAUUAUCUAGUGGCAGGUACUGAAGGAUUAGCAUGGGUUGUUCAUCUUUGUUUUGUAUUAAGUUUGAGAAGUGGCAGAAAUUUUAAUCUACGUGGGCCUGUAUCUAUUCGAGCAUUGGUAUUUCUGCUAAUUGUUGUCUCUAUACUACUAUUAAGGAGUCAUGUCAAAUAUAAUUCACGAAAUGAUGUUUUACCAAAUUUGUCAUUGGGAUUUAGUAUUAGUGUAGUCACUCUACUAAUACUCUAUGCAAUAACACUGAUACCAGAUCAUAGUUUACAAGAUGCAAGAUCAUCCCGAUUUAACGAAAUAGGAGAACAGACUGCACUGUUGAAUACUCCUAAUUCUUCUUACGUAAGAUUCCCAGAGGAACAGGAUUCAACUUAUCUUGGAACUGCUAUGGAGAAUGUAACAAUAACUUCUAAAAUUUUAUUUCACUGGGUAAACCCCUUAAUGGAAAAGGGUGUCCGUGGCUUGCUGAACCAUUCAGAUGAUUUAUUUGAUUUACCAGAAUAUAUCAGCACUAAUGUGAUCAGUCAGAAACUUGAUUAUCAUUUGCAAAAUAUGCCCUGCAAUGUAAAUAACAGGAUGGAAAAUGAUGAAUUAAUGAUGGAGACAGAUGUACAAACUGUUACAAAGAAAAUAACUUUGUUACAUUUAUUACAUAAGUGUUUUGGAUGGGAAUUUUAUUCGGUUGGAAUAUUAAAAUUUAUCAGUGACUGUAGUUUAUUUGUGGGUCCAAUAUUAUUAAACAAAUUAAUUGGUUUUAUUGAAGACAAAAAUGAAUCUGUCUCAUAUGGAUAUCUAUAUGCAACAUUAAUAUUUGUUAGUGCUUUAAUAGGAGCUUUUUGCAAUGCUCAUUUUACAUUUUGGAUGUCUAUUGUUGGCUUAAAAAUCCGAUCAACGAUCAUUACUUUGGUGUAUAGGAAGACUUUACAAUCGCCUAGUAUCCAGUUAAAGCAACAAUUUAAUUUUGGUGAAAUAAUCAAUUUUAUGAGUACGGAUACUGAUAGAUUAGUUAACAGUUGUCCAAGUUUCCAUGCAUUUUGGAGCAUUCCAUUACAGUUGGUUGUGGCAUUAUAUCUUCUGCAUGAGCAAAUAGGGAUUUCGUUCUUAGCUGGGGUUACUUUUGCAAUAGUGCUUAUACCAAUAAACAAAGUAAUAACAAAUAAAGUUGGAAAGCUUAGUACGAAGCUAAUGGAAUACAAGGAUCAAAGGGUCAAAUAUAUAGGGGAAGCAAUACGUGGAAUAACUGCGAUUAAAUUGAAUGUAUGGGAAGAUCAUUUCUUGUGGAAUAUUAGUAAAUUACGAGAAAAGGAAAUCAAAUAUUUAAGUGAGAGAAAAUAUUUAGAUGCGCUAUGUGUUUAUUUUUGGGCCACAACACCUGUAUUGAUUUCUAUAUUAACAUUCACAACGUAUGUUCUUCUUGGAAAUAAACUUGAUGCAAAAACAGUUUUUACUAGUAUGGCACUGAUGAACAUGCUCAUAGGUCCAUUAAAUGCAUUUCCCUGGGUGUUGAAUGGUCUUACAGAAGCUUGGGUGUCACUUAAAAGAAUACAGAGAAUGUUAGAUUUACCAGAUGCUGAUCUGUCAUCAUACUAUUCGGAAUGUCCACCUGGAGUAGAUUUAAUGCUUCAGGAUGUAACAUUCGGAGUAACUACCAAGCAAAAUAUGGAAGAAAGUGAUUCAAAUUUGCCUAGAAAUGUUGCAACGCCAUCUUCUUCUUCUGAUUCUAGGAAAACAGUAACAUUUGAAGAUAAUAAUACUUUCAAUCUACAUGAGAUUAAUAUUAUAAUUCCGAAGGGGCAUUUAAUCGGGAUAAUGGGAAAAGUGGGCAGUGGUAAGUCACUACUCUUAGAUGGUAUUUUAAGUGAAAUUACCAAAGUUCGUGGUACGAUAGCAGUAAGUGAUGUCGCACAGGGUUUUGCAUUUGUCAAACAAAAUCCUUGGCUGCAACAUGGUACUAUUCGAGAUAACAUUCUUUUUGGAAAGUCUUAUGAUUAUAAUAAAUAUAAGGCCAUUUUAAAAGCAUGUGCUCUUACCACUGACUUAAAUUCCCUACCUAAGAAGGACUUAACAGUUAUCGGUGAUGCCGGAAAUACUUUGAGCGGUGGACAAAAGACACGAAUUUCCUUGGCACGUGCAAUUUAUGCAAACAAAGACAUCUAUUUGUUGGAUGAUGUUUUAGCGACUUUAGAUCCGAAAGUUGCUAACUACAUAUUCGAACAUGUUAUUAUAGGUUUACUGAAGAACAAAACAAGAUUACUGUGUACUCAUCAGACUCAAUAUUUAAUUCAUGCAGAUGUAGUAGUCGAUAUGGCUAAAGGCAGGAUAGUUAAUCAAGGUAAACCUAGCGAGGUUUUGCCAGACAUAGAUGACUAUUUAUUAUCUUCAGACUCUUAUGAGCCAGAUUUAGACGUUACCUCUGUUAAUGAUUUACCAAGAGAGACGAAUCAGUUGGAUAGAAAUGGUAAAGAAUGUUUGCCCGAUGAAGAAUUUACAGAGAAGGGAACUGUACGGUUUGGAGUAUAUUCAUGCUAUAUUAAGGCUAUGAGUGGCUACUUGGCAAUUUUGAUAUUUAUCUCCAUAUUUUUGAUGCAAAGUUCUAAAAAUGUAACAGACUUGUGGCUGUCUUAUUGGGUGACUCAUAUUAAUACAUCAGCGAGUAAUACUACAGAGACGCCAAAUCUUUUACAAUUUGAAUAUUUCUUUGACGAUCAUGAUAUGAGCACAAAGUACUAUUUAAUAGUUUAUGCUAUAUUAGCUGUAUUGAAUUCGCUAUUUACCUUGAUGAGAGCAUUUAUGUUUGCGUAUGGAGGGAUUCGAGCAGCCAUUGCAAUACACAAACAGCUUUUAAAAAUUGUUGUUCGGGCUAAAGCUGUAUUUUUCGAUAUUCAACCACUUGGUAGGAUUAUCAACCGAUUUUCAUCUGAUACAUACACAAUUGACGAUAGCCUACCUUUUAUUAUUAAUAUCUUACUCGCACAAUUAUUUGGUUUAUUGGCAACAAUAGUUGUUGCCACUUAUGGCUUACCAUGGAUACUGUUCAUGAUAAUUCCACUCGUCCCAGUAUAUCAUUGGAUUCAAAAUCAUUAUAGAUUAACAUCAAGAGAAUUGAAGCGUUUAUCAAGUGCAGCUCUUUCACCUUUGUAUGCCCACUUCAAUGAAACUUUAAACGGACUCUCCACUAUAAGAGCUUUGCGCACUGUGCCACGUUUCAGCCAAGAAAACGAACUGUUACUGGAAGUCAGUCAAAAAACGAAUUUUGCGUCGAUUGCAGCCAGCCAAUGGCUUGGGUUAAGACUACAACUUAUGGCAGUGGUUCUCUUAGCUGGAGUGAGCAAUAUUGCGGUUCUACAGCAUCAGUAUGACAUUGCAGACCCUGGUUUGAUAGGUCUUGUUAUUACUUACAUUUUGUCCAUAACUGGGUUGUUAACUGGCGUGGUCAAUGCAUUUACUGAGACGGAGAGGGAGAUGAUCGCAGUGGAACGCGUGAAACAAUAUUUGGAGAAAAUCUCCACAGAAACUAUCAAUGGCGAUAGUCCACCGUAUGCUUGGCCAAGUCAGGGCGUAGUUGAAUUUAGAGAAGUUGUAUUGAAAUAUAGAGAGCAUUUGACGCCAUCGUUGAACGGUAUAUCGUUCGUUACUCGACCAGCAGAGAAAAUAGGAGUUGUCGGCCGGACGGGUGCUGGAAAAAGUUCAUUAUUUGCUUCCUUAUUUAGAUUAACGGAAAUCACGUCCGGAACUAUAUUGAUAGAUAGUAUUAAUAUACAGACAUUGCAAUUAAAUGCAUUAAGAUCACGUUUGGCUAUUAUACCUCAGGAUCCAUUUAUUUUCUCGGGUACAAUAAGAGAGAAUCUAGAUCCUUUAAAUCAGUAUCCAGAUCUGCACAUAUACAAGGCAUUAGAGAAAUGUAAAAUUCACUCGCUAGUGUACCGUUUAGGAGGUCUCGGCGCUACUUUGGAAGAAUGCGGCAGCAAUUUAAGCGCAGGGCAGAGGCAAUUGUUUUGUUUGGUCAGAGCAGUUUUGCAUAAUGCCAAGAUUGUCUGUAUCGACGAAGCUACGGCGAACGUUGACCAAGAAACGGACAAGUUUCUUCAAGGGACAAUAAAGUCUUUCUUCCAGAGUGCCACGGUGAUUACUGUGGCGCACAGGAUAAGAACAAUUAUGCACUGUGAUAGGGUACUCGUGAUGGCAGAAGGGGAGGUAUUAGAGUUUGACGAACCAAAUCUGUUGAUUCAAAACAUCGACUCCCAUUUUUAUCGUUUAGCCAGUCAAGAGUUUUCCAAUGAAGAAUGAACGUUUCCCCGUAGCGUAGAACUCUUCUCAAGCACCCGGCGCUCGAAUUCGUUGUAGGAAAUUCUAUCCCUGAUUCGAAAAAUACGUCCAACUUCUAUCUAAAACCAAGGAAGUAGGAAAAGUACAUCAACGAUGAGUCCAUUGGAUAAAUACGAGGUGUGUCCGGAAAGUAUCCAACAAUUUUACGAGUUCCUCCGACAAAUAGCAUGGAACAGACCCCUCCUGACAUUUAAUCAUCGUUUGAUGCUUCGUGUGUUCUGUGGUACUCUCCUUCCCAGUGAACGGUUGGAUACUUUGCGGAGGCAUUUCGUAUGAAUACUGUGGUUCGAAGAUUUCACUUUGUCCGGGCAAUAUCCGAAAGCAGCGGUCAUGGCGAUUUUGUAUUGCCGUUUAGUCAGCGAUCCGACGGACUCCGCAUCAGCAUAAUCGAAAGCCUGCGGGGUUCGUGAUCCGUACAGUCGUUUCUCUCGCGACCCGUUCUUUUCCUACGUCGUGUCUUACCUUCCUAGCGCGUUCCUUGUAGACGCUCGACGUCAUAUCUUCCUUCAGGGCGUGAAUUCAGCUGGAACGAAACUUCCUUGAGCGACUACCAUAUUAAGCGAUUCGAUGAAAGCGAGGUGUUGCUCGUCGCGAGUCGCGCGUGCAUCGGGCUUUCAGCGGGGGAACUCGACCGACACGCAUUAUAUCGUAAUUAAAGCGGGAACCCCCUUUCAAACA